GAACGAACGCUGGCGUCAUGCCUAACACAUGCAAGUCGAACGAGACCUUCGGGUCUAGUGGCGCACGGGUGCGUAACGCGUGGGAACCUGCCCUUAGGUUCGGAAUAACUCCCCGAAAGGGGUGCUAAUACCGGAUAAUGUCUUCGGACCAAAGAUUUAUCGCCUUUGGAUGGGCCCGCGUUGGAUUAGCUAGUUGGUAGGGUAAAAGCCUACCAAGGCGACGAUCCAUAGCUGGUCUGAGAGGAUGAUCAGCCACACUGGGACUGAGACACGGCCCAGACUCCUACGGGAGGCAGCAGUGGGGAAUAUUGGACAAUGGGCGAAAGCCUGAUCCAGCAAUGCCGCGUGAGUGAUGAAGGCCUUAGGGUUGUAAAGCUCUUUUACCCGGGAUGAUAAUGACAGUACCGGGAGAAUAAGCUCCGGCUAACUCCGUG
rnacentral:rRNA from 1 species